GUGCUAAGGUAGCAUAAUCACUUGCUACUUAAUUGGUAGCUGGAAUGAACGGUCGAACUGGUUUAGUAAGUGUGUGUGUUUAAGUAGAAAAUUAAAGUCCAGGUAAGAAUUCUUUGAUAGUUUAGGGGACGAUAAGACCCUAUAAGCUUGACAAGUAUGGGAGUGAUUUUGUGAAUCAGGUAAUUUUGUUUUACUGGGGCGGUAAUGGUGUUUUAACCACUAUUUAGGCUAAGAUCCUUAAUAUAUAGACGGCACGGGCAAGUUACUCUAGGGAUAACAGUGCAAUAUUUUUGGAGAGGUCCUAUCGAUAAAUAUGUUUGCAACCUCGAUGUUGAAUUAAAAUUUCUACGCGAAGCAGAAGGUGCAGUAGAGGGUUUGUUCAACCUUUAAACUUUUACAUGAUCUGAGUUCAAACCGG
rnacentral:rRNA from 1 species